GUGCUCACUUAGUCAGUACCUAUUCUAAAAUUGGAAUGAUGCAGACAAGAUUAUCAUGGCUCCAGCACAAGGAUGACACUCAAAUUCAUGAAGCAUUCUAUACUUUA